CAUACAGAGAGAUUCUUCAGCCACUCAGCCGUUGGUGGAAGGGAAACCCCAAACGGUCUUGAGAUGAAAAGGAUGGCUGGUCUUACUUACCUGGUGUGAUAUCGCCUGCCCACUUCUGUCAUCAUCUGUCCUGUGCUGUUGAACCUGGAGAGGAAAAUAUGCUUUUCUCCCUCACUGUCUUGACCGCGCAGGUUUCUCAGCCGCUCUGGUCUCUCGCUCUGCCGGCAGUGAACUUGUGGAAGUGUGAACAGGAGUCCCUCCCUCUUGGUCUCUGUCUCUCCUCCCCAAAGCCCAUGUCCUUCCUUCCUCCCUCCCUCCCUGGAAUGCAGAGCCAAGCAGAGGCCUGAGAACUGAGAGAAAUUCCUCUUCAUUAGCACACUUCUGGCAUCUGCUGCCUGCGUGGAGGCUUUUCCAUAACAUGAACCGCCUGAGAAAACAAACCUCAA